rnacentral:tRNA from 1 species
GUCCCGUUAGUCUAAUGGAUAAGACAAUGGAUUCCGGUUCCAUUAAUAUGGGUUCGAUUCCUAUACGGGACGCCA